rnacentral:rRNA from 1 species
GAUGAACGCUGGCGGCGUGCCUAAUACAUGCAAGUCGAGCGAACGGACGAGAAGCUUGCUUCUCUGAUGUUAGCGGCGGACGGGUGAGUAACACGUGGAUAACCUACCUAUAAGACUGGGAUAACUUCGGGAAACCGUAGCUAAUACCGGAUAAUAUUUCGAACCGCAUGGUUCAAAAGUGAAAGACGGUCUUGCUGUCACUUAUAGAUGGAUCCGCGCUGCAUUAGCUAGUUGGUAAGGUAACGGCUUACCAAGGCAACGAUGCAUAGCCGACCUGAGAGGGUGAUCGGCCACACUGGAACUGAGACACGGUCCAGACUCCUACGGGAGGCAGCAGUAGGGAAUCUUCCGCAAUGGGCGAAAGCCUGACGGAGCAACGCCGCGUGAGUGAUGAAGGUCUUCGGAUCGUAAAACUCUGUUAUUAGGGAAGAACAUAUGUGUAAGUAACUGUGCACAUCUUGACGGUACCUAAUCAGAAAGCCACGGCUAACUACGUGCCAGCAGCCGCGGUAAUACGUAGGUGGCAAGCGUUAUCCGGAAUUAUUGGGCGUAAAGCGCGCGUAGGCGGUUUUUUAAGUCUGAUGUGAAAGCCCACGGCUCAACCGUGGAGGGUCAUUGGAAACUGGAAAACUUGAGUGCAGAAGAGGAAAGUGGAAUUCCAUGUGUAGCGGUGAAAUGCGCAGAGAUAUGGAGGAACACCAGUGGCGAAGGCGACUUUCUGGUCUGUAACUGACGCUGAUGUGCGAAAGCGUGGGGAUCAAACAGGAUUAGAUACCCUGGUAGUCCACGCCGUAAACGAUGAGUGCUAAGUGUUAGGGGGUUUCCGCCCCUUAGUGCUGCAGCUAACGCAUUAAGCACUCCGCCUGGGGAGUACGACCGCAAGGUUGAAACUCAAAGGAAUUGACGGGGACCCGCACAAGCGGUGGAGCAUGUGGUUUAAUUCGAAGCAACGCGAAGAACCUUACCAAAUCUUGACAUCCUUUGACAACUCUAGAGAUAGAGCCUUCCCCUUCGGGGGACAAAGUGACAGGUGGUGCAUGGUUGUCGUCAGCUCGUGUCGUGAGAUGUUGGGUUAAGUCCCGCAACGAGCGCAACCCUUAAGCUUAGUUGCCAUCAUUAAGUUGGGCACUCUAAGUUGACUGCCGGUGACAAACCGGAGGAAGGUGGGGAUGACGUCAAAUCAUCAUGCCCCUUAUGAUUUGGGCUACACACGUGCUACAAUGGACAAUACAAAGGGCAGCGAAACCGCGAGGUCAAGCAAAUCCCAUAAAGUUGUUCUCAGUUCGGAUUGUAGUCUGCAACUCGACUACAUGAAGCUGGAAUCGCUAGUAAUCGUAGAUCAGCAUGCUACGGUGAAUACGUUCCCGGGUCU